rnacentral:rRNA from 1 species
AUUGAACGCUGGCGGCAGGCCUAACACAUGCAAGUCGAGCGAGCGGCGGACGGGUGAGUAAUGUAUGGGGACUGCCUGAUGGAGGGGGAUAACUACUGGAAACGGUAGCUAAUACCGCAUACUAUCGGAUAACCCAUAUGGGAUUAGCUAGUAGGUGGGGUAAAGGCUCACCUAGGCGACGAUCUCUAGCUGGUCUGAGAGGAUGAUCAGCCACACGGCGACGGAGACGCGGCCCAGAUUCCUACGGAGGCAGCGGUGGGGAAUAUUGCACAGUGGGCUCAAGUCUGAUACAGCCAUGCCGCUUGUAUGAAGAAGGCCGUAGGGUUGUAGAGUACUUUCAGCGGGGAGGCGUUACCAACAGAGGAAGCUCCGGCUAACUCCGUGCCAGCAGCCGCGGUAAUUC